rnacentral:rRNA from 1 species
GAUGAACGCUAGCUACAGGCUUAACACAUGCAAGUCGAGGGGAAACGGCAUCGAAAGCUUGCUUUUGAUGGGCGUCGACCGGCGCACGGGUGAGUAACGCGUAUCCAACCUGCCCAUCACUUGGGAAUAACCUUGCGAAAGUAAGACUAAUGCCCAAUGACAUCCCACGAAGGCAUCCGAAUGGGAUUAAAGAUUUAUCGGUGAUGGAUGGGGAUGCGUCUGAUUAGCUUGUUGGCGGGGUGACGGCCCACCAAGGCAACGAUCAGUAGGGGUUCUGAGAGGAAGGUCCCCCACAUUGGAACUGAGACACGGUCCAAACUCCUACGGGAGGCAGCAGUGAGGAAUAUUGGUCAAUGGGCGAGAGCCUGAACCAGCCAAGUAGCGUGCAGGAUGACGGCCCUAUGGGUUGUAAACUGCUUUUAUAAGGGAAUAAAGUGGGUCACGUGUGACUUUUUGCAUGCACCUUAUGAAUAAGGACCGGCUAAUUCCGUG